GAUGAACGCUGGCGGCGUGCUUAACACAUGCAAGUCGAACGAUGAACCGGGUGCUUGCACUCGGGGAUUAGUGGCGAACGGGUGAGUAACACGUGAGCAACCUGCCCCUGACUCUGGGAUAAGCGCUGGAAACGGCGUCUAAUACUGGAUAUGUCCCGUCACCGCAUGGUGUGCGGGUGGAAAGAUUUUUCGGUUGGGGAUGGGCUCGCGGCCUAUCAGCUUGUUGGUGAGGUAAUGGCUCACCAAGGCGUCGACGGGUAGCCGGCCUGAGGGGGUGACCGGCCACCCUGGGACUGAGACACGGCCCAGACUCCUACGGGAGGCAGCAGUAGGGAAUAUUGCACAAUGGGCGGAAGCCUGAUGCAGCAACGCCGCGUGAGGGAUGACGGCCUUCGUGUUGUAAACCUCUUUUAGUAGGGAAGAAGCGAAAGUGACGGUACCUGCAGAAAAAGCACCGGCUAACUACGUGCCAGCAGCCGCCGUAA
rnacentral:rRNA from 1 species